AUCUCUCCUCAUUUAUUUCCACUGUAAAACUGGAGAUGCUUUUUCUUACUCUGGAAAAAACUUCCAGGUCAUCAUUCCCACUAAGGAAGCAGUCAAUGGGGUCAUUACCCCUCCUGCUGAGUGUGACCUUGUACCAGAUAAGCCCUGAGAAUUCACCAGGUGUGCUGGCUUUCAGAAUUUUGCAAAGUUUUUCUGGAACCCCUGUUUCCCCUUUGCUGUGCUCUCCACUCACUGCUUAUUUCCAUGCUAUGUCUGUCGGUCUUACUACUGUGGAUCCUGGAGAUCUACAACAAAGCUUCAUGAAAUUGUACUUCAAUUUCUGUUAACCUAACCUUAACCUGUUAACUUUCUUUCAUUCUGUUAACCUAACCUUAACCUGCAAGACCUCAGUCUUGUAAAAUAAAUGUCCAAUAUUUCCAGUUCCAUGCACCUGAAAUUCUGCAUGAGGAAGUUCAUGACAUUGAUGAUUCUAGCAGAGUAGAUGAGAUUUCACAACCCAUGGACCCAGAGGUAUUACGUGCAACUCUAUUUCCCCAUAACUGGAUUCCCUCUCUAGCUUCCUCCCCUACCCGAUGGCAGAAAAGUUACUUCCAGGACAAUUCAGACAUGUCCGAGUUUUCAGACUUUUUCAAGUUCACAAUUCAAUUAAUUCAGCUUUGAGCUCUCCCUGCUUUCCCUAGGUGGGUCCAUACAAAGGGGGCUCAGCCGUGGGAGAGGACUCUUGCCCUUUGAACCUCUCUCUGUCUUAUGCUAGCUGAUGCUGAUAUGAGACCUGCUCCAUCCAGGCCACUAUGAUGAUUCCUUCCUUUGACAGCCUCCGCCAUCCUAAUCUCGGGUAUUGACAGACCGUGCUAGUUUUUUUCCUUAACCCCCAGGUCCCUUCGGGUCUCGGGCAACCCCUCUCCGGGGCACUGGCGCUAUGGGAUGCUCCCCAGGGGACGUUCCCAGCCUGGUCUUUCCAGUUUGGACAUUUCCCCCUUUACUGGCUCACCCUCCCCCAAGCUGGUGUCGUGUGGAAGGAAAUCAGGUCCGUGCACGCUUCCCAGGUCCUGCCAGGAAGGGGCCCAGGCUUCCUAAAGUUUUCCAGGAAAAGUCCUCCUCCCCCGCUACCCCCCAGCUCCGCCCUUCUGCGGGAGGGGGCAGCGUGGCUGGCUUUAAGCUUUAACUCUUCCGUCACAGCAGUGCUCCUUCUGUGUCUCACGCCAUCCGGAUCUCCGAUCUCCCGGGGGAGGAGGCGGUGGUGGGAGGGACACAACCUCUGCCUCAUCAUAUCUUUUUCAAAAUUUGUAUUUUGUUCGUCAGCACUGACCAAAUGGGUAUGCUUUGUUCUGAGUUCUUCUCCUGGAGGGUCCGUGACAAAUCUGAAUACGUCCAAGGAAACAAUUGGGUCAACGAAGGAGGCUUAUCUCGGAGAAGGAAAAACCUCUCAGCAUGGUGGAGAAUGAGGUAACAUGAAGAAGUCUCAGGAAAAGAGAUUGGAACAGAAGUGGAUUUGCUAUGGCUUUCAUGGAAUAGAAGCUUCUGGGCCCCUCACCUGCGCUAUCUUCUUUGAAGACUUCCACCUAAUAUCACGUUUAUCAUUGUUAUUCUUUUUUUUCUAAAGGAGAGCCCUCCCCCCACCCCAAGUUGAAUAAGAUCAGCUCCACUAAUUCUGGAUCCACCCCUGAGCUAGAAUUAAUCUACAUAAUUCCUUGGGACAAAACUAGGAUUAAUAGUAGAAAGUUACAAUGAGGCAAACAUUGCUCAAGAUCUGGAAAUUCUCCCAGUUAGAGCUAUUAAAAAUUGGGAUGGGCUGCAGAAAACCAGAAAGUACGUCAUUGGAUGCCUUGGGUAAAAGCGAAUGAGGCAGGGUUGUUGUAAGAGGGGCUGAUGAUCUCUCCCAACUCUAGGAAUCAAAGUCUCUGAGAUAAGCUACAGAGAGGGCACUGAGACAGCAUUUGCUUGCCUAUGUAUUAAUAGUAGGGACCCCAAGUCCAAUAGCAGGGACCCCCAAGUCCAGGCACGUAUAGUUUGCUAGGUUUAAGUCACUGUAUUAAAAAAAAAAAUAAUAAAAAUAUUCAGAAGCAUUCA